AGCGAGCGGCGGACGAGGAGAGCCAUCUUGAGGAGGUUAGCGGAGGGGAGGCAGGCGGGGCAGCCUCACACCUCACACCUGCUCUCUCUCCCUCCCUCCGUGAUGCAGUGUUUCGGCGCCACACAGACACGCUGCCUCGGCCGAAUGAGGGAACGCUGUGCCGGCGCCGGCGCUGCCAAACCUCAGGUGAGGUGGCCAGCCAGCAGGAGACAGUAACAGUGGCAGCUCAGGAAUCAAGACUAUCAGCAGCAGCAGAGGCAGGAUGACCCAAGACUUACUCUGCCCAGGACCAAGAAUUAUAGUAACAGUAGCCGUGGUAGUAGUAGUAGUAGUAGU